GACGAACGCUGGCGGCGUGCUUAACACAUGCAAGUCGAACGGAGUGGCGAACGGGUUAGUAACCCGUGGGUGACCUGCCCUGCACUUCGGGCUACGCCUGGGAAACUGGGUCUAAUACCGGAUAGUGUGGGAUGGGCCCGGGGCCUAUCAGCUUGUUGGUGGGGUAAUGGCCUACCAAGGCGGCGACGGGUAGCCGGCCUGAGAGGGUGGACGGCCAAAUGGGGACUGAGACACGGCCCAGACGCAAACGGGAGGCAGCAGGGGGGAAUAUUGCACAAUGGGCGUAGGCCUGAUGCAGCGACGCCGGGGGGGGGAUGACGGCCUUCGGGAUGUAAACUCCUUUCACCAUCGACGCGGUAGAUGGAGAAGAAGCACCGGCUAACUACGUGCCAGCAGCCGCGGUAAUAC
rnacentral:rRNA from 1 species